CAGUAGCCGCGGUAAUACGUAGGGUGCAAGCGUUAAUCGGAAUUACUGGGCGUAAAGCGUGCGCAGGCGGUUUGUUAAGACAGAUGUGAAAUCCCCUGGCUCAACCUGGGAACUGCAUUUGUGACUGCCAAGCUAGAGUGUGGCAGAGGGGGGUAGAAUCCCACGUGUAGCAGUGAAAUGCGUAGAGAUGUGGAGGAAUACCGAUGGCGAAGGCAGCCCCCUGGGCCAAUACUGACGCUCAUGCACGAAAGCGUGGGGAGCAAACAGGAUUAGAUACCCCAGUAGUCCCUGUCUCUUAUAC
rnacentral:rRNA from 1 species